UUGAGUUAAAACGGUUUCUCGUGCUAU
rnacentral:sRNA from 1 species